rnacentral:rRNA from 1 species
UGAGGAAUAUCGGUCAAUGGGCGAGAGCCUGAACCAGCCAAGUAGCGUGAAGGAUGAAGGCUCUAUGGGUCGUAAACUUCUUUUAUAUGGGAAUAAAGUUUUCCACGUGUGGAAUUUUGUAUGUACCAUAUGAAUAAGGAUCGGCUAACUCCGUGCCAGCAGCCGCGGUAAUACGGAGGAUCCGAGCGUUAUCCGGAUUCAUUGGGUUUAAAGGGAGCGUAGGUGGAUUGUUAAGUCAGUUGUGAAAGUUUGCGGCUCAACCGUAAAAUUGCAGUUGAAACUGGCAGUCUUGAGUACAGUAGAGGUGGGCGGAAUUCGUGGUGUAGCGGUGAAAUGCUUAGAUAUCACGAAGAACUCCGAUUGCGAAGGCAGCUCACUAGACUGUUACUGACACUGAUGCUCGAAAGUGUGGGUAUCAAACAGG